rnacentral:rRNA from 1 species
AUUGAACGCUGGCGGAAUGCUUUACACAUGCAAGUCGAACGAUGAACCUUAGCUUGCUAGGGGGAUUAGUGGCGAACGGGUGAGUAAUAUAUCGGAACGUGCCUUGUAAUGGGGGAUAACUAGUCGAAAGAUUAGCUAAUACCGCAUACGCCCUGAGGGGGAAAGUAGGGGAUCUUCGGACCUUACGUUAUAAGAGCGGCCGAUAUCUGAUUAGCUAGUUGGUGGGGUAAUGGCCUACCAAGGCUUCGAUCAGUAGCUGGUCUGAGAGGACGACCAGCCACACUGGAACUGAGACACGGUCCAGACUCCUACGGGAGGCAGCAGUGGGGAAUUUUGGACAAUGGGCGCAAGCCUGAUCCAGCCAUUCCGCGUGAGUGAAGAAGGCCUUCGGGUUGUAAAGCUCUUUCGCAAGGGAAGAAAACUUACUUUCUAAUAAAGAGUGAGGCUGACGGUACCUUGAUAAGAAGCACCGGCUAACUACGUGCCAGCAGCCGCGGUAAUACGUAGGGUGCGAGCGUUAAUCGGAAUUACUGGGCGUAAAGCGUGCGCAGGCGGUUUGGCAAGUCAGAUGUGAAAUCCCCGAGCUCAACUUGGGAACUGCGUUUGAAACUGCCAGACUAGAAUAUGUCAGAGGGGGGUAGAAUUCCACGUGUAGCAGUGAAAUGCGUAGAGAUGUGGAGGAAUACCAAUGGCGAAGGCAGCCCCCUGGGAUAAUAUUGACGCUCAUGCACGAAAGCGUGGGGAGCAAACAGG